AUACUUAGCUGGCAGAGAAGUUAUCAUGACCACAAAGGUGGUUUCCCAGGGUGAGGCUUAUCCAUUAUCCUUGGGACAUUCUGACUCCGGUGUUUUCCCCAAAUGCAGAAAACUCAACUGCAUAAUGUGUGGAAGCGGAGACUAUGCUCACAUUCUCCCCUA